rnacentral:rRNA from 1 species
AGCGAACGCUGGCGGCAGGCCUAACACAUGCAAGUCGAACGGAUCCUUCGGGAUUAGUGGCGGACGGGUGAGUAACACGUGGGAACGUGCCUUUUGGUUCGGAACAACUCAGGGAAACUUGAGCUAAUACCGGAUAAGCCUUUCGAGGGAAAGAUUUAUCGCCAUUAGAGCGGCCCGCGUAGGAUUAGCUAGUUGGUGAGGUAAAGGCUCACCAAGGCUACGAUCCUUAGCUGGUCUGAGAGGAUGAUCAGCCACAUUGGGACUGAGACACGGCCCAAACUCCUACGGGAGGCAGCAGUGGGGAAUCUUGCGCAAUGGGCGAAAGCCUGACGCAGCCAUGCCGCGUGAAUGAUGAAGGUCUUAGGAUUGUAAAAUUCUUUCACCGAGGACGAUAAUGACGGUACUCGGAGAAGAAGCCCCGGCUAACUUCGUGCCAGCAGCCGCGGUAAUACGAAGGGGGCUAGCGUUGCUCGGAAUUACUGGGCGUAAAGGGAGCGUAGGCGGAUAGUUUAGUCAGAGGUGAAAGCCCAGGGCUCAACCUUGGAAUUGCCUUUGAUACUGGCUAUCUUGAGUACGGAAGAGGUAUGUGGAACUCCGAGUGUAGAGGUGAAAUUCGUAGAUAUUCGGAGGAACACCAGUGGCGAAGGCGGCUCACUGGCUCGAUACUGACGCUGAGGUGCGAAAGCGUGGGGAGCAAA